GGGACACCGCAACAGCCAGGGGACUGUCUGGGUCCAGCUGGAGCUGGUUGGAGCUGGAUGGAACUCAUUGGAAUUGCUUGGAAUUGGGGAACAUUCCCAGCUCUCCCAGCCUGGCUCCAGCCCUGCAGCAGCUCCGGGUUCUCCUCUGGGCUCUCUCCAGCAGCUCCACGUCCUCCUGCUGUUGGCCCCAGGGCUGGGGCAGCUCUGCAGUUUUUACAGAUUAUUGCCUCAAAAAGGGGCACAACCCGAGCUGGAGAAGGGCCGCUAGGACCUGACUUCUGUCCCGGUACAGAGGGUGCAGCUCAAGCUGGGUGUGCUCGGAACAGGAGGUUUAUUUACGAGUUUAUCCUGUUUUUAUUUCUCCCUGCUCCCUGAGCGUUCCCCCCUUGUUCUGCCAGGGGAGAACACAAUAAUAAAGAUGCAAAUGUGA